CCUACGGGAGGCAGCAGUGGGGAAUAUUGGGCAAUGGGCGCAAGCCUGACCCAGCAACGCCGCGUGAAGGAAGAAGGCUUUCGGGUUGUAAACUUCUUUUCUCAGGGACGAAGCAAGUGACGGUACCUGAGGAAUAAGCCACGGCUAACUACGGGCCAGCAGCCGCGGGAAUACGUAGGUGGCAAGCGUUAUCCGGAUUUACUGGGUGUAAAGGGCGUGUAGGCGGGAAAGCAAGUCAGAUGUGAAAACCAUGGGCUCAAACUGUGGCCUGCAUUUGAAACUGUUUUUCUUGAGUACUGGAGAAGCAGACGGAAUGCCUAGUGUAGCGGUGAAAUGCGUAGAUAUUAGGAGGAACACCAGUGGCGAAGGCGGUCUGCUGGACAGCAACUGACGCUGAGGCGCGAAAGCGUGGGGAGCAAACAGGAUUAGAUACCCCAGUAGUC
rnacentral:rRNA from 1 species